rnacentral:rRNA from 1 species
GGGAAUAUUGCACAAUGGGGGAAACCCUGAUGCAGCGACGCCGCGUGAGGGAAGAAGGUUUUCGGAUUGUAAACCUCUGUCUUUGGUGACGAAAGAUGACGGUAGCCAAAGAGGAAGCUACGGCUAACUACGUGCCAGCAGCCGCGGUAAUACGUAGGUGGCAAGCGUUGUCCGGAAUUACUGGGUGUAAAGGGAGCGUAGGCGGGAAGACAAGUUGAAUGUUUAAACUAUCGGCUCAACCGAUAAUCGCGUUCAAAACUGUUUUUCUUGAGUGAAGUAGAGGCAGGCGGAAUUCCUAGUGUAGCGGUGAAAUGCGUAGAUAUUAGGAGGAACACCAGUGGCGAAGGCGGCCUGCUGGGCUUUAACUGACGCUGAGGCUCGAAAGCGUGGGUAGCAAACAGA